GUGCUCGCUUCGGCAGCACAUAUACUAAAAUUGGAACAAUACAGAGAAGGUCAGCAGGGCCCCUGCGCAAGGAUGACACGCAAACUCGUGGAGCGCUCCGUAUUUUU
ensembl:snRNA U6 U6 spliceosomal RNA